rnacentral:rRNA from 1 species
GAUGAACGCUAGCUACAGGCUUAACACAUGCAAGUCGAGGGAAACGAUAGAGAAAGCUUGCUUUUCUAGGCGUCGACCGGCGCACGGGUGAGUAACGCGUGGGUAACCUGCCUCAUACAGGGGGAUAGCAGCUGGAAACGGCUGGUAAUACCGCAUAAGCGCACAGCAUCACAUGAUGCAGUGUGAAAAACUCCGGUGGUAUGAGAUGGACCCGCGUCUGAUUAGCUGGUUGGUGAGGUUAACGGCCCACCAAGGCGACGAUCAGUAGCCGACCUGAGAGGUUGAACGGCCACAUUGGGACUGAGAUACGGCCCAGACUCCUACGGGAGGCAGCAGUGGGGAAUAUUGGGCAAUGGGCGCAAGCCUGACCCAGCAACGCCGCGUGAAGGAAGAAGGCUUUCGGGUUGUAAACUUCUUUUAAGAGGGAAGAGCAGAAGACGGUACCUCUAGAAUAAGCCACGGCUAACUACGUG